rnacentral:rRNA from 1 species
GUAGGUCCGAUGAAGAUGGAGUGCUUGCACAAGUUGGAUUCGGGUUGCCAUUCAGUGGCAGACGGGUGAGUAACACGUGGGUAAUCUACCUCGAAGAUUGGGAUAACGGCUAGAAAUGGUCGCUAAUACCGAAUAAUUCAUAUUUAGAUAACUAGAUAUGCUAAAAGGAGCUUCGGCUUCACUUCGAGAUGAGCUUGCGGUGUAUUAGCUAGUUGGUGAGGUAAUGGCUCACCAAGGCAACGAUGCAUAUCCGAGCUGAGAGGCUGAUCGGACACACUGGGACUGAGACACGGCCCAGACUCCUACGGGAGACAGCAGUUAGGAAUAUUCGUCAAUGGAGGAAACUCUGAACGAGCAAUGCCGCGUGAGUGAUGAAGGCCCUAUGGGUCGUAAAGCUCUGUUGUGAAGGAAGAACAACUGAAAUAGGUAAUGAUUUCAGACUGACGGUACUUCACCAGAAAGCCCCGGCUAACUACGUG